UGGGCAACCUGCCCCAGACACAGGGAUAACCCCGGGGAAACCGGGGCUAAUACCGGAUACUCCGGUCGAACCGCAUGGCUCGAUCGGGAAAGCUCCGACGGUCUGGGAUGGGCCCGCGGCCUAUCAGCUUGGUUGGUGGGGUAACGGCCUACCAAGGCGACGACGGGUAGCUGGUCUGAGAGGACGACCAGCCACACUGGAACUGAGAUACGGUCCAGACUCCGUACGGGAG
rnacentral:rRNA from 1 species